GGGCAGACUGGAAGGCAGGACAGACUCAGGAUCCACAGCUCCCAGGCUAAUACCGGUGCUGCCCAUGGGAGCCGCAUGCACCAGGCUCUCCCUGCCUCAGUGUUCUCGAAUGAAACAGGCAGAUCCUGCCUGCUCCGGGAGCUGUCAGGAGGACAAAGCCAGAACCCCACCAGGUCGUGGUGGGCCGGGGCCGGAGGGCACCUGGUGGGGUCGGUGUUCUACUCUGAGUGUCCCCAGAAGCCAUCCUACUGCGUUGAGCCAGGAGUCACUGUGUCCAGAGACGUCUUCACAACGUCCCGGGGAACAUUCCGAGACCUCGAGGCUCGCGUGGCCCUGUGAAGCCCUCGGCAGCCGCGGGUGGAGACAGGCUGCCCCGCGACCUCGCACAGCCCCCCGGAGCCGCCCGCCUCCUGCUGUGGACAGUCACCGAAACCGCAGAGCUCUUACUGAUGUCUACACUCUAGGAAACAUUAAUUCAUGAUUUUCUUAAUAUCUUAUUGAUCUCUCCACCUCCAAAGGCCAGAGGUUAAGAAACUCCAUAAAAACGUCCCGGCAAUUUAUUGCCGUCCCUCGAAGACACUGCAGUAGGCUCCCAGCUAUUUGCUCUCCCCAUUGUCUUUUCACGUAAGGUUGCAGUUCAAAAUGACAAAUUUACCUUUUCUAUGAACUUUAUAUGAACUUGUUUUUAAAUUUAAUAUCUAGAGAAAUACCCAAGCGCCGAUCUUGAAGGGCUGUAGUUUCAGACUCUCCACAAAGCCAUAGUCGUGGGGACAGGUGGCCACCUGCACACGGGAGCUGGGUCGGGCGACCGUCCACACCAGGAGCAUUUGGCACCGCGAGGCUCACCGACCCUAAUCGUGCUCUUCCUUAACAAGAGGAUGACAAACCAUGAUCCAUAUUCUUAUUAUGCCUUUAGUUUGUGUUUAGGAGAUGGGGACGGAAAGAGAGCAAGACUUGAGGUCACUGAAGGGCGCCCCACCAGGAUGCAGACCUGGGGCUCACUGGCUGCUCACUCACCUGCCACAUUUGCCUAUUAAACUGUGUGCCACAGUCCACGCUCCACGGGGAGGCAGCUACCUCCAAAAAAGCCGAGUGUGAGAUCCACUUGCAGCCUCCCACCUGAAGGGAAUUGGUCAGAAAGUUGGGAGCAGAAAAUCAUGAACCAGAAGAUUAAAAAUGGAAACCAGUUUGUAAUUUCAGGGAAAACAUUUGUUACUGUAAAUGCUAUAAUGAACAGGUGAAAAACUAAAUGUCUUUUUAAUUACAUUAUUUAGCUCGAAUAGGCACAGACUUGAGGGUUUUAAUUAACCUGACUCAGAAAGUAAAUAAUUUCACAUUACAAUUCUGCUCCAGCCUCUCCUGUGGAGAACCAGCCAAGGCGCGUGAUGGAGUUCCAGCGUUUCCGACUGCAGAGCCCACGGGACCCCACCGGGAAAUAAGCAGUUCAUAGUAGGUGAAGGAUGAGUGCUGGUCAGAGGGAA
rnacentral:lncRNA from 12 species